GCCCCACCAUUUUUGGCAAACCAAGAUACAUUUCUGGAUUUUUUGAAAUCCGCACACCCAACACACUUCCUACUUGAUCUUGCAACUGUAAGUCCACAUUGCCACUUAAAUAAAUGAGCGAUUUAUCAAACUGUCCUGAUACUUCUUCAUACUCAUUUACCACUAUUUUCAUAGCAUUAGCUACCUCAAUUGUAGCUUCACCAAAAAAGAUGUUAUCAUUUGCACAAAAAAAAACAUAUGCGUUACUGAUAAUCCACUUCUCCCC
rnacentral:lncRNA from 1 species